AGAGUUUGAUCCUGGCUCAGAUUGAACGCUGGCGGCAUGCCUUACACAUGCAAGUCGAACGGCAGCACGGGGGCAACCCUGGUGGCGAGUGGCGAACGGGUGAGUAAUACAUCGGAACGUGUCCUGUAGUGGGGGAUAGCCCGGCGAAAGCCGGAUUAAUACCGCAUACGAUCUACGGAAGAAAGCGGGGGACCGAAAGGCCUCGCGCUAUAGGGGCGGCCGAUGGCAGAUUAGCUAGUUGGUGGGGUAAAGGCCUACCAAGGCGACGAUCUGUAGCUGGUCUGAGAGGACGACCAGCCACACUGGGACUGAGACACGGCCCAGACUCCUACGGGAGGCAGCAGUGGGGAAUUUUGGACAAUGGGGGAAACCCUGAUCCAGCAAUGCCGCGUGUGUGAAGAAGGCCUUCGGGUUGUAAGGCACUUUU
rnacentral:rRNA from 1 species